UACGAAGGAUGCAAGCGUUAUCCGGAUUCAUUGGGUUUAAAGGGAGCGUAGGCGGUCCUGUAAGUCAGUGGUGAAAUCUCUCGGCUUAACCGAGAAAUUGCCAUUGAUACUGCAGAACUUGAGUACAGUUGCCGUUGGCGGAAUAUGACAUGUAGUGGUGAAAUACAUAGAGAUGUCAUAGAACACCGAUUGCGAAGGCAGCUAACGAAACUGUAACUGACGCUGAGGCUCGAAAGUGCGGGGAGCAAACGGG
rnacentral:rRNA from 1 species